rnacentral:rRNA from 1 species
UACGUAGGGACCGAGCGUUGUCCGGAAUCAUUGGGCGUAAAGAGCGUGUAGGCGGCCACUUAAGUCCUGCGUGAAAUCUUGCGGCUCAACCGCAAGCGGUCGUGGGAAACUGGGUGGCAAGAGUGCGGGAGAGGAGAGUGGAAUUCCUGGUGUAGCGGUGGAAUGCGCAGAUAUCAGGAGGAACACCGGUGGCGAAGGCGGGUCUCUGGGCCGAUACUGACACUGAGAAGCGAAAGCGUGGGGAGCGAACAGG